rnacentral:tRNA from 1 species
GAAGACCUAGUAAACAUAUUACAUGGCUUUGUCAUAGCCAAAUCACAGCCCCUGUGGUCCUCA